rnacentral:rRNA from 1 species
GAUGAACGCUCGCGGGAGGCCUAACACAUGCAAGCCGAGCGGUAGAGUUUCUUCGGAAACUUGAGAGCGGCGCACGGGUGCGUAACACGUGUGCAACCUACCUUUAUCUGGGGGAUAGCCUUUCGAAAGGAAGAUUAAUACCCCAUAAUAUAAUGAUUGGCAUCAAUUAUUAUUGAAAACUCCGGUGGAUAGAGAUGGGCACGCGCAAGAUUAGAUAGUUGGUGAGGUAACGGCUCACCAAGUCAAUGAUCUUUAGGGGUCCUGAGAGGGAGAUCCCCCACACUGGUACUGAGACACGGACCAGACUCCUACGGGAGGCAGCAGUGAGGAAUAUUGGACAAUGGGUGAGAGCCUGAUCCAGCCAUCCCGCGUGAAGGAUGACGGUCCUAUGGAUUGUAAACUUCUUUUGUACAGGGAUAAACCUACCCUCGUGAGGGUAGCUGAAGGUACUGGACGAAUAAGCACCGGCUAACUCCGUG